rnacentral:tRNA from 1 species
UGGGGUGUAGCUCAGUGGUAGAGUGCUUGCCUAGCAUGUGUGAGGCACUGGGUUUGAUUCUCAGCACUGCAU